rnacentral:lncRNA from 1 species
CUAGAUAUAAAUUUGCUAAGGAAAACAACAAAAGAUUUUUUCGGAACUUUCUAGAGUUAGUAUUCUAAAGAAAACAUCUAACAGAAAUAUAAAAACGCAAAAUCAUUUUUUUGGAUUUCUGAUUUAUAACACAUUUUUUAAUCCACAAAACUAGAAGGUAAAAGACGACAUAAAAAGAAAAAUAGACUCAAAACAUAAAAAAGAAAAAAAAAUCUCCUUUUAAUCCACUCCUGAAUGAAUGAUCCUAACUAGAUGGUCCCGGGGUGUCUGCCAUGCUCAAACUCCGGUAAGUAAAUCCACACCUGUAUGAGAAAAUUAAGACCAAAUAAAGUUAAUGACCUGGAACGCUAUGUGAGACAAUAACCCUUCCUGUUGGAUACAUGCAAGACAUCACUGAGGCUAUUUUGGCAAAACGGCCUGUGUGGCCAAAAAUGGCUAGACAUGCAAGACUUGGCUAAGACCCCGCAAAACCAAGAACCUAAGACUCACUAGGAAGACCGGACCCUAUGUGGGUUGCCUACGUAUCAUGCCCUGAAAAAUGAGAAUCAGGUAUGCGUAGUUUGGGAAGAUUGGAAACGGGCGAGUAUAAAAAAAACUAAUUUAGAGAAAAAAAAAUAUUUUUUGUCUUUUUUUUUUUGAAACNNNNNNNNNNNNNNNNNNNNNNNNNGUAGUUUGGGAAGAUUGGAAACGGGCGAGUAUAAAAAAAACUAAUUUAGAGAAAAAAAAAUAUUUUUUGUCUUUUUUUUUUUUGAAACAUGUAAACUAUUUUUGAUUUUCUUUUCCCUUUAUUUUUUAAUUUUUUUGGGGGAAAAUGAUAGGAAAGUGCAAAUUUUUUUUUUGGAUUUUCAUAUUUAUUUGUCUUUUUUUUUCUUUUUCUAAAAAAUGUGAAAGAAAAACAUAACUCGGCCCUACUUGUUUUUUUUUUACACUUCACCCUUUUUUUUCAUUUAUCCUCUAUCCUCAUUGGUCCGCCAAAUGACCCAUUUUACCCUUGAAGAUUGCAACAUGUAGCACAUUAGAAUGCAUCGGGAUGGUCUUUUAUUUUUUGAGUAUAUUUAUCCUAGACGGACCCAACCCCUGUGUUGAGUCCCCUAAGUCAAAUGCACGUGAUACAAACAAACGUUCCUACUAGGGAUCCGGCAUGAGGUUAUGUUUUUCUAAGUUUAAAUCAGUGGUUGUGUUCUUGACCUAUCUUACCUGAGGGGACAACUCGAGUCGAAGAGGAGGCAACGCACCGGGAGCACGAAAGUCUACCCGGUCUUGUUGCUGGCCCAACCUCGUUCUAUUUGGUAUACUUCUAACAGAAAAAGUGGCCCACGCGAACGUGUGCACAAUUUUUAGAAGAUUAAGAGGGGUGGCGUAAAAAGGCAUUUUAAUAUAAUUUGAACAAUAUCGAAAUGGUAAAUAAACAUCAAUUAGAAAAGGUUCACAUAAUACAGUAAUAUUAACAAUAAAUAAAAUCAAGCAUACAUCAUAUUAACAAGCUCGAAUUCUGAACCUUGAACAAGAGAUUCUGGGUUAUUUUCCCCAGUAGAGUCGUCAGAGCUGUCACACCUCCUUUUUCCUACCCCGGGAGGGGUAUAAGGGAGUUUUUUCAAUUAAAGUGACAAUAACCAAAAUGGGAUUAUUUAUUAAAUUCAGAGUCGCCACUUGGGAUAAGUAUAUGGUGUCCCAAGACACCGGUUUAAAAUCCCGAAUUGAGGAAGGUUGACUCUUAUUUAUGGUCCGCGAACAUAGAAAUCCAGGUAAGGAAUUCUGUUAAUUUGGGAGAAAGUGUUAGGCAUUACUGAGUUCCGUGGUUUUAGCAUGGUCUCUUUAAUCAUACAUGUCGUAUUAAAUUGUUCAAUUACUUAUGUUUAAACCUAUGUGCAUCUACCCCCUUAACCACUUUUAAUUACUCGAUUAUUCGUAAUUAAGAAAUUAUCUCAAAAUGAGUCAUGUGUACGUGUACUCAUUUCGUUUGGUGUGUCAUGAAUCAUGUCACCCGUACGUGUCCACAAUUCCUAAGACUUAUCUUAUUCAAAAAAAAAGGUUUGGUCAAAGUUGCGCGAAUGCAUACUUUGAUUUUUUUUUAGAAAAUCGUAAUUGUGUCACGCGAAUGUGUACACAAUCACGAUGAUAGAUUAAUUAAGGGCGAGCAUAAAGCAUUUAGCAUAUUUGGAUUAUUCUUAUAUCAACAAUCAAACCGUUAAUUAUUGAAGAGAUUGGGCUUAGGAUAUGGAGUUAACAUAUUUGGCUUUUCUUACAUGCUAUUUCAGACCAAAUAUCAGAUGGCCUAAUUAAUUUGAAACCUUCCUCGUAGCCCCAUGAAUAAAGGAAAUAAUGAAAGUCUUAAUCUAAUGUAUUAACAAAAUAAACCAAAUAUGGGCAUGAGAAAUGCUUAAUGCCAAUAUUAAUUAAAGCUUGAAUAGAGCUAACCAAAACCCCAUUUACCAUGUAAACCCUCGGAAAUCAGUUGUCUCUAUGAACGGACGGUAUUAAAGUAACAAAGUCUUGAAAGAAGGCUAAUCCUCGAUCUUAUAUUUUCAUUAUUCAUUGGACUAGAACUAAACUAAUAAAAUAAAGAGACAUAAUAUAUUAUUUAAAACAAACAAUCACAAAAACAAUUAUGAAAAGACAACAAAACAUUCUGCUAGUAAUAACUUAGCCAAAGAGAAGAGAAAGGGAACAUAUUUGAACAAUAUAUGAAGAAGUGGAUGAAAAAGUUAAAAGGAUCGGACCUUUUAUAUAAAUUAUCUGAGUUGGAAUUACACGAGCUUAACAAUUGGACAAUUGUUUAUCAGAGUGUUUGCCGGCGACAACAAAUAGAACCAGCGACCGGAGACUCGAACGGCGAUCAAAGAACCGCCAAACAGCGACCAACUCGAACCAACUUGCAAUAUUUCGAAAAAUCAAACCACAAAAAUAGAACCUCUAUUUCGUAUAGGAAAAGAAGACAGAGGUGAUUUUCUUCCUUCUGAACUAAAGUUUCAUGAAGGAAAUAAAUUGAGAAAGGGAAAACGUGAUUAAUUGAGGGGUGCUGCAAAACAAAAAUUGGGGGAGGGGGGAACUCACGGCUGGUUGAUGUUCGAGAAAGUGUAGGGUGAAGCAUUCGUCCGUUUUCUUUCAAUUUUUGGGAGAUGAGAGGUUAGCUCUUGUAUCUUGGUUCAGAGACGAGCGUCCAUGGAGAAUUCUCCAUUUUUGGGGAGGUGUCACUGGAAUUGGUGAUGAAGGAGGCACUGCUGGUUCUUUUUGCUCUUCAUGGCAGAAGCUCUAGGUAUUAGGUCACAGCUAGGUUAGGGAUUUCUAGGUUCAUUUUUCUUUGUAGUGUGAUGAUGGGUUAAGGUUAAAGAGGAAGGGAGGAGUUGGCUAGGUUUUAGAGAUUAGGGUGGUGUAAUGGGCUAAGAAGAUUGGGCUUGGUGAAUUGAGCUAAAUUUGGCUUUUAAUUCUAUACUUCUUUCAAUUUGGC